UGCUUAACACAUGCAAGUCGAACGCAGUACUCAAGCUUGCUUGAGUAGCUGAGUGGCAGACGGGUGAGUAACACGUGGGAACUUACCCUUUAGACUGGGACAACCACUGGAAACGGUGGCUAAUACCGUAUACGCCCUACGGGGGAAAGAUUUAUCGGGGAUGGAUGAGCCCGCGUUGGAUUAGCUAGUUGGUGGGGUAAAGGCCUACCAAGGCGACGAUCCAUAGCUGGUCUGAGAGGAUGAUCAGCCACAUUGGGACUGAGACACGGCCCAAACUCCUACGGGAGGCAGCAGUGGGGAAUAUUGGACAAUGGGCGCAAGCCUGAUCCAGCCAUGCCGCGUGAGUUUGAAGGCCUUAGGGUUGUAAAGCUC
rnacentral:rRNA from 1 species